UACGAAGGGGGCUAGCGUUGUUCGGAAUCACUGGGCGUAAAGGGCGCGUAGGCGGCCUUCUAAGUCAGACGUGAAAUCCCCCGGCUUAACCUGGGAACUGCGUCUGAUACUGGGAGGCUAGAGUAUGGGAGAGGGAUGUAGAAUUCCAGGUGUAGCGGUGAAAUGCGUAGAUAUCUGGAGGAAUACCGGUGGCGAAGGCGGCAUCCUGGACCAUUACUGACGCUGAAUCGCGAAAGCUAGGGGAGCAAACGGG
rnacentral:rRNA from 1 species